rnacentral:rRNA from 1 species
UGUAGCAAGGUUAACCGAAUAGGGGAGCCGGAGGGAAACCGAGUCUUAAUUGGGCGUUAAGUUGCAGGGUAUAGACCCGAAACCCGGUGAUCUAGCCAUGGGCAGGUUGAAGGUUGGGUAACACUAACUGGAGGACCGAACCGACUAAUGUUGAAAAAUUAGCGGAUGACCUGUGGCUGGGGGUGAAAGGCCAAUCAAACCGGGAGAUAGCUGGUUCUCCCCGAAAGCUAUUUAGGUAGCGCCUCGUGAAUUCAUCUCCGGGGGUAGAGCACUGUUUCGGCUAGGGGGCCAUCCCGGCUUACCAACCCGAUGCAAACUGCGAAUACCGGAGAAUGUUAUCACGGGAGACACACGGCGGGUGCUAACGUCCGUCGUGAAGAGGGAAACAACCCAGACCGCCAGCUAAGGUCCCAAAGUCAUGGUUAAGUGGGAAACGAUGUGGGAAGGCCCAGACAGCCAGGAUGUUGGCUUAGAAGCAGCCAUCAUUUAAAGAAAGCGUAAUAGCUCACUGGUCGAGUCGGCCUGCGCGGAAGAUGUAACGGGGCUAAACCAUGCACCGAAGCUGCGGCAGCGACGCUGAUGCGUUGUUGGGUAGGGGAGCGUUCUGUAAGCCUGCGAAGGUGGCCUGUGAGGGUUGCUGGAGGUAUCAGAAGUGCGAAUGCUGACAUAAGUAACGAUAAAGCGGGUGAAAAGCCCGCUCGCCGGAAGA